AAGGAAGAAGAUCUGACGGUACUUGAUGAAUAAGCCACGGCUAAUUCCGUGCCAGCAGCCGCGGUAAUACGGGAGUGGCAAGCGUUAUCCGGAAUUAUUGGGCGUAAAGCGUCCGCAGGCGGCCCUUCAAGUCUGCUGUUAAAAAGUGGAGCUUAACUCCAUCAUGGCAGUGGAAACUGAGGGGCUUGAGUGUGGUAGGGGCAGAGGGAAUUCCCGGUGUAGCGGUGAAAUGCGUAGAUAUCGGGAAGAACACCAGUGGCGAAGGCGCUCUGCUGGGCCAUCACUGACGCUCAUGGACGAAAGCCAGGGGAGCGAAAGGGAUUAGAUACCCCUGUAGUCCUGGCCGUAAACGAUGAACACUAGGUGUCGGGGGAAUCGACCCCCUCGGUGUCGUAGCCAACGCGUUAAGUGUUCCGCCUGGGGAGUACGCACGCAAGUGUGAAACUCAAAGGAAUUGACGGGGGCCCGCACAAGCGGUGGAGUAUGUGGUUUAAUUCGAUGCAACGCGAAGAACCUUACCAGGGUUUGACAUCCUGCGAAUCUCUUGGAAACGAGAGAGUGCCUUCGGGAACGCAGUGACAGGUGGUGCAUGGCUGUCGUCAGCUCGUGUCGUGAGAUGUUGGGUUAAGUCCCGCAACGAGCGCAACCCACGUCUUUAGUUGCCAGCAUUUAGUUGGGCACUCUAGAGAGACCGCCGGUGAUAAACCGGAGGAAGGUGUGGAUGACGUCAAGUCAUCAUGCCCCUUACAUCCUGGGCUACACACGUACUACAAUGCUACGGACAAAGGGCAGCAAGUUCGCGAGGACAAGCAAAUCCCAUAAACCGUGGCUCAGUUCAGAUCGUAGGCUGCAACUCGCCUACGUGAAGGAGGAAUCGCUAGUAAUCGCAGGUCAGCAUACUGCGGUGAAUACGUUCCCGGGCCUUGUACACACCGCCCGUCACACCAUGGAAGUUGGCCACGCCCGAAGCCGUUACUCCAACCCUUGUGGAGGAGGACGUCGAAGGUGGGGCUGAUGACUGGGGUG
rnacentral:rRNA from 1 species